UCAAGUUAUUAAGGGUGCAGGGCGGAUGCCUUGGCACUAGGAGCCGAUGAAGGACGUGAUAAGCUGCGAUAAGCUUCGGGGAGUUGCACGUAAACUUUGAUCCGAAGAUUUCCGAAUGAGGAAACUCACUUAGAGUAAUGUCUAAGUAUCAUUAAGUGAAUACAUAGCUUAAUGAGGGGAACUCAGGGAACUGAAACAUCUAAGUACCUGAAGGAAGAGAAAGAAAUUCGAUUCCGUAAGUAGCGGCGAGCGAACGCGGAUUAGCCCAAACCAAUAAAGUUUUCUUUGUUGGGGUUGCGGACAUAUCAUAACGAAGAGGUAUCGUAAUUGAAGAGGUUUGGAAAGACCCACCACAGAAGGUAAUAGUCCUGUAUGUUAAACGAGAAGACUUCAGAUAUGAUCCAGAGUACCACGGGACACGUGAAACCCUGUGGGAAGCAGGAGGGACCACCCUCCAAGGCUAAAUACUACCUAGUGACCGAUAGCGUAUAGUACCGUGAGGGAAAGGUGAAAAGAACCCCGGGAGGGGAGUGAAAUAGAACCUGAAACCCUGCACUUACAAGCUGUGGAAGCACAUUUCUUGUGUGACCGCGUACUUUUUGUAGAACGGGCCAACGAGUUACGUUAAGUAGCAAGGUUAAGCACUUAAGGUGUGGAGCCGUAGCGAAAGCGAGUUUUAACUGAGCGUUCAGUUACUUGACGUAGACCCGAAACCGGGCGACCUACCCAUGAGCAGGAUGAAGCGAAAGUAAAAUUUCGUGGAGGUCCGAACCCACGAGCGUUGAAAAGCUCGGGGAUGACUUGUGGGUAGCGGUGAAAUUCCAAUCGAGCCCGGAGAUAGCUGGUUCUCCCCGAAAUAGCUUUAGGGCUAGCCUCAAGGUGAGAGAUACGGAGGUAGAGCACUGAAUGUCCUAGGGGGUAUUGCACCUACCGAAGACUAUCAAACUCCGAAUGCCGUCAUCUUAUACUUGGGAGUCAGACUGUGGGUGAUAAGAUUCAUAGUCGAAAGGGCAACAGCCCAGAUCGUCAGCUAAGGUCCCUAAAUGUAAGUUAAGUGGUAAAGGAUGUGGGAUUGCACAGACAACCAGGAUGUUGGCUUAGAAGCAGCCACUCAUUCAAAGAGUGCGUAAUAGCUCACUGGUCGAGUGAUCCUGCGCCGAAGAUUUCCGGGGCUAAAACUUACUACCGAAGCUACGGCAUCAGUAAUGAUGGGUAGGGGAGCUUCCCAUACGGGUUGAAGCAUGACCGUAAGGACAUGUGGACAGUAUGGGAGUGAGAAUGUUGGCAUGAGUAGCGAGAUGUGGGUGAGAAUCCCACAGGCCGUAAACCCAAGGUUUCCAGGGGAAGGUUCGUCCGCCCUGGGUUAGUCGGGACCUAAGCUGAGGCCGAAAGGCGUAGGUGAUGGACAACAGGUUGAUAUUCCUGUACUACCGAUAACCAUUUGAGAGAAGGGAUGACACAGUAGGAUAAGCUAAGCACACUGUUGGUUAUGUGUGCCCAAGCAUUGAGGCAGUCAAAGCAGGCAAAUCCGCUUUGAUAAUGCUGGGAUGUGAUGGGGAGCGAAAUUUAGUAGCGAAGUAGCUGAUUUCACACUGUCAAGAAAAGUCUCUAUCGAGGUUAAAGGUACCCGUACCGCAAACCGACACAGGUGGGUGAGGAGAGUAUCCUAAGGCCAGCGAGAGAACUGUUGUUAAGGAACUCGGCAAAAUGACCCCGUAACUUAGGGAUAAGGGGUGCCACCAUCCGGUGGCCGCAGAGAAUAGGCCCAAGCGACUGUUUACCAAAAACAUAGGUUUCUGCUAAGUCGCAAGACGAUGUAUAGGAGCUGACGCCUGCCCGGUGCUGGAAGGUUAAGGGGAUCUGUUAGAGCAAUCGAAGCAGUGAACUUAAGCCCCAGUAAACGGCGGCCGUAACUAUAACGGUCCUAAGGUAGCGAAAUUCCUUGUCGGGUAAGUUCCGACCCGCACGAAAGGCGUAACGAUUUGGGCACUGUCUCAACAACAGACUCGGUGAAAUUGUAAUUCCGGUGAAGAUGCCGGAUACCUGCGACAGGACGGAAAGACCCCAUGGAGCUUUACUGUAGCUUGACAUUGGGUCUUGGUACUACAUGUACAGGAUAGGUGGGAGGCUUUGAAACCAGGACGCCAGUUUUGGCGGAGCCAUCCUUGGGAUACCACCCUUGUAGUACUGGGACUCUAACCAUAGGCCAUGAAUCUGGUCUUGGGACACUGUCAGGUGGGCAGUUUGACUGGGGCGGUCGCCUCCCAAAAGGUAACGGAGGCGCUCAAAGGUUCUCUCAGUACGGUCGGAAAUCGUACGUAGAGUGUAAAGGCAAAAGAGAGCUUGAUUGCAAGACAUACAGGUCGAGCAAGGAUGAAAAUCGGACUUAGUGAUCCGGUGGUUCUGCGUGGAAGGGCCAUCGCUCAACGGAUAAAAGCUACCCUGGGGAUAACAGGCUUAUCUCCCCCAAGAGUCCACAUCGACGGGGAGGUUUGGCACCUCGAUGUCGGCUCAUCACAUCCUGGGGCUGUAGUAGGUCCCAAGGGUUGGGCUGUUCGCCCAUUAAAGUGGUACGCGAGCUGGGUUCAGAACGUCGUGAGACAGUUCGGUCCCUAUCCGUCGCAGGCGUAGGAAAUUUGAGAAGACCUGUCCUUAGUACGAGAGGACCGGGAUGGACGUACCUCUGGUGUACCAGUUGUUCUGCCAAGGGCAUGGCUGGGUAGCUAUGUACGGAAUGGAUAAGCGCUGAAAGCAUCUAAGCGCGAAGCCAACUUCAAGAUAAGAUUUCCCACCGCAAGGGUAAGACCCCAGAAAGACUAUCUGGUUGAUAGGUCGAAGGUGUAAGUGCAGCAAUGUAUUUAGCUUAUCGAUACUAAUAGGUCGAGGACUUGACCAA
rnacentral:rRNA from 1 species